CGCGUAGGCGGUCUUGCAAGUCCUGUGUGAAAUCCCUCGGCUCAACUGAGGAACUGCACAGGAAACUGCUUGGCUUGAGUUCGGGAGAGGGAAGCGGAAUUCCGGGUGUAGCGGUGAAAUGCGUAGAUAUCCGGAGGAACACCGGUGGCGAAGGCGGCUUCCUGGACCGACACUGACGCUGAGGCGCGAAAGCUAGGGAGCAAACG
rnacentral:rRNA from 1 species